rnacentral:pre_miRNA from 1 species
UUAACUCAUAUUUGUAUGCAGUUGGAACAGCGCCCCUAGCGGCAAACGUAGGCAAACGUUCCGACUCCAUACAAAUUUGAGUUA